UGGGGAAUUUUGGACAAUGGGCGCAAGCCUGAUCCAGCCAUGCCGCGUGCAGGAUGAAGGCCCUCGGGUUGUAAACUGCUUUUGUACGGAACGAAAAGCCUCUUUCUAAUAAAGAGGGGUGAUGACGGUACCGUAAGAAUAAGCACCGGCUAACUACGUGCCGGCAGCCGCGGUAAUACGUAGGGUGCGAGCGUUAAUCGGAAUUACUGGGCGUAAAGCGUGCGCAGGCGGUCUUGCAAGACAGUGGUGAAAUCCCCGGGCUCAACCUGGGAACUGCCAUUGUGACUGCAAGGCUGGAGUACGGCAGAGGGGGAUGGAAUUCCGCGUGUAGCAGUGAAAUGCGUAGAUAUGCGGAGGAACACCGAUGGCGAAGGCAGUCCCCUGGGCCUGUACUGACGCUCAUGCACGAAAGCGUGGGGAGCAAACA
rnacentral:rRNA from 1 species